AUAUUAAUAAGCGGAGGAAAAGAAACUAACAAGGAUUCCCCUAGUAACGGCGAGUGAAGCGGGAAGAGCUCAACUUGAAAAUCGGAGGCCUUUUAGGUCUUUGAAUUGUAGUCUAUAGAAGCAAUAUCCGCAGUGGCCCAGGUCUAAGUCCUUUGGAACAAGGCGUCAAAGAGGGUGAGAACCCCGUUUUGGGCUUGGAGUCUGCUGUGUACGAUAUGCCUUCAACGAGUCGGGCUGUUUGGGAUUGCAGCCCUAAAUGGGUGGUAAAUUUCAUCUAAAGCUAAAUAUAGGCGAGAGACCGAUAGCGCACAAGUA
rnacentral:rRNA from 1 species